GUGGAGCAUGUGGCUUAAUUUGACUCAACGCGGGAAAUCUUACCGGGUCCGGACACACUGAGGAUUGACAGAUAUACGCUGCGUUGCUCUCGAGCACGUGGCUCAAAGAUGCUAGUUCUUUCAUGAUUAUGUGAUAGGUGGUGCAUGGCCGUUCUUAGUUCGUGGAGUGAUCUGUCUGCUUAAUUGCGUAUCAAUAAUAGAGACCUAGUAUACGCGUAUUACUCAUGUGGUAGUGACCCCCUUCUCACGGAGGCGCGUGUCGCACAUAUGGUAUACGCACUGGUCUCAGAUAGCAACGAACGUGACCGUAUUCUAUUGUUGCAGUGAAUUAUACGUGUGCUUUAUGCAUACAUUCCCACUGCUUAGUGUGCGUAUCAGUACUUGUACUGUGCGUCACGCAUUAAACUAUAGAGACCGCUGUUUCUUCUUUAAACCAGAGGAAGGAUAC
rnacentral:rRNA from 1 species